UGUUUUGAUUGAUUAUUGUUAGGUUAUCAUCUGUGCUUAAGGCUUUUAUCGUUUAACUCAUUCGGUAUAUCGUUGUUUGUCGUUAUUGACAUGGGGACGUGCGGUAAUGACAUGAACUGGUGAGUAAUCUCUUGAUUUUGCAAUACCACCUAGGGAUAGGGGUAGGACGAUCAAUUACGCUAACUUCUGUUUAUAAUGCGGUAUUAAUUACUAGGGGAGGCUAGGGAUAACAAGCCGGUAAUUGAUAUUAGGCCCUUUUCGCCGAGGGAUCAGGUUAAGGGGAGGCUAAGAAAGUCGCAUAACAAUUGAAUCAAUCUAAUAAUCAAGGGUAGUAUGUAAGAGAGAGUGGAAUAGAUGAAAUUGUUAGUACCCAACAACAUCCAUCCAUCCAUUGUUUUCACUUGUCAAUUGAAUCAACAUUUAUUUUGCAUGUUAAUAUUUUUAUCCUCAAAUCUACUUUAUUAAAUUUUAUUUCUCAAGUCUUAUUAUUUUAAU
rnacentral:lncRNA from 1 species